rnacentral:rRNA from 1 species
GCGCGUAGGCGGUUAAUUAAGUCAGAUGUGAAAUCCCAGGGCUCAACCUUGGAACUGCAUUUGAAACUGGUUAACUAGAGUUUUGUAGAGGGUGGUAGAAUUUCAGGUGUAGCGGUGAAAUGCGUAGAGAUCUGAAGGAAUACCAGUGGCGAAGGCGGCCACCUGGACAAAGACUGACGCUGAGGCGCGAAGGCGUGGGGAGCAAACGGGAUUAGAUACCCCGGUAGUCCACGCAGUAAACGAUGUCUAUUAGAAUUUUGUGGCUAUAUGCCGUGGGAUUCAAAGCUAACGCAUUAAAUAGACCGCCUGGGGAGUACGGCCGCAAGGUUAAAACUCAAAUGAAUUGACGGGGGCCCGCACAAGCGGUGGAGCAUGUGGUUUAAUUCGAUGCAACGCGAAGAACCUUACCAUCCCUUGACAUCCAGAGAAUCUGUUAGAGAUAGUAGAGUGCCUUCGGGAACUCUGAGACAGGUGCUGCAUGGCUGUCGUCAGCUCGUGUUGUGAAAUGUUGGGUUAAGUCCCGCAACGAGCGCAACCCUUAUCCUUAUUUGCCAGCGGGUUAUGCCGGGAACUCUAGGGACACUGCCGGUGAUAAACCGGAGGAAGGUGGGGACGACGUCAAGUCAUCAUGGCCCUUACGGGAUGGGCUACACACGUGCUACAAUGGCAAAUACAAAGGGCUGCUAACCAGCGAUGGUAUGCGAAUCUCCUAAAGUUUGUCGUAGUCCGGAUCGGAGUCUGCAACUCGACUCCGUGAAGUUGGA